GUCCACGCCGUAAACGAUGGGUGCUAGACGUUGGCGAGCUUGCUCGUCAGUGUCGCAGCUAACGCGUUAAGCACCCCGCCUGGGGAGUACGGCCGCAAGGUUGAAACUCAAAGGAAUUGACGGGGGCCCGCACAAGCGGUGGAGCAUGUGGUUCAAUUCGACGCAACGCGCAGAACCUUACCAGCCCUUGACAUGGGACUCGCCGGGAGCAGAGACGCUCCCUUCGGUUCGGCCGGAGUCCGCACAGGUGCUGCAUGGCUGUCGU
rnacentral:rRNA from 1 species